rnacentral:rRNA from 1 species
AGCAGUCGCCGCGGUAAUACAGAGGGUGCGAGCGUUAAUCGGAUUUACUGGGCGUAAAGCGUGCGUAGGCGGCUUUUUAAGUCGGAUGUGAAAUCCCUAAGCUUAACUUAGGAAUUGCAUUCGAUACUGGGAAGCUAGAGUAUGGGAGAGGAUGGUAGAAUUCCAGGUGUAGCGGUGAAAUGCGUAGAGAUCUGGAGGAAUACCGAUGGCGAAGGCAGCCAUCUGGCCUAAUACUGACGCUGAGGUACGAAAGCAUGGGGAGCAAACAGGAUUAGAUACCCGAGUAGUCCCUGUCUCUUAUAC